UCGGUUGGUCUGUCCUAAGCACAUCUAUGAAGUGGUUGCUAAGGGAGAUUCCUAUUACAAAUGUCACAUACAAGCUAGCCAAAAGAGGCAAUGCAGUUAAUUAUUCUUGAUAAGUUGGCUGAUUUCAGAAGAUGAGAAAGUUACAGUAUUUUUAAAUAUCUAAGGAGGUCUUUUAAGUUCCUCCAAGAGUCUCAGAAUCUUGCUUUGCAAACUGAUGUCUUGGU
rnacentral:lncRNA from 1 species